rnacentral:pre_miRNA from 1 species
AAAAUACUCCCUCUAUCCGAAAAUACUCGUCGGAGGAAUGGAUGUCUCUAGAUGUAUUUUAGUUCUAGAUACAUUCAUUUUUAUGCAUUUUUCGACAAGUAUUUCCGGACGGAGGGAGUAAUAU